GUCAGCAUCUUCCUGUCAUUUAUGCAAGGGCAAUGCAUAGCUACAGGUCCAAAAAUAUCCCCAGCCCAUUCCUUUAUGGGAGCAAAAGAGCCGAACGGCCUCGGCACGCUGGUGGAUUCUGUAAUUAGCACACGCCGCUCCGGAGACAAAAGGAAGGAGAACAAUCCUACAGCCGGAGCACAUUCCAAGAAAAGCCCAGUGUGUAGGAAUCAUGGGUACCUACGACUCCUUCACACCAGACUGCGACACGAGGCCGUGCUUCUCAAUGCAAUCAUUCUUUGAUUCCUGGCGAAUCUGUCGGCGUGUGUGCAGGAAACGGGGCCAAAGCGGCUUCCUGAGCGGCUCAGGAGGAAACACGGAAAUAAGAAAGGGGUGUGUGUUUAAAAAUAACUCGGGUAUAAAAGGUCCAGGCAGGAUCCCACUCACUCUCAGACUCGCAGGAUGCUUCUCCGGCGGUGCACACUAGAAAGUAUGCUUCAGGCACGCAGCCCUAUGAAGAGUCACACUACUAUGAGGACUUUUGCAUGAGCACCACUGAAACAAACGGCAAAAAAAUACAUUUUCAUUGCACAAAAUAAAAUAGAACAUAAAAAACUUUAGAAUUUUUUUUUAUUUCACCACAAAUUAUUUUAUCUCACCACUCUAAAACUAAAAAUGUAUAAAAACUAUAUAGAAAUAAAAAACUAAAAUUAAAGUGAAAACAGAUCAUUUAAAAAUAAAAUCUAAAUCAUUUAGUUUAACUUCAAGUACUAAACUAAAUUAAAUAAAUAAGUUUAACAAAAACUAUACUGACAUAUUUUUAAAAAACAAUAAAAAAUACAAAAACACAACAAAAUUAGUACAACUUUAACUAAAAUUACAAUGAACACAAAAAAUAUAAAAAUUAAAUCUAAACCGUUUAGUUUAACAUGAAAUACUAAACUAACUUUAAUAAAUAAAAUGAUAUAGACAUGUUUAAAAAUAAUUAAAUUACGAAAACAAAAAAUGUCAUAUUUAACUAAAAUUAAAGUAAAAACAGAAAAUAUAAAAAUAUUAGUUUAACCUGAAGUUAUGAGAUAAUUAAAACUAAUAAAUUAAUACUAUAUGGACAUACUAAAAUAAACAAAUAUAUAAAAAUGACAAACCUUUUUACUUGAAUUAUGGUAAAAAUAAUAAUAAUAAAAAAGGAAAAUAUGAAAAUAAAAUCAGAUUCAAACUAUUAGCAAAACAAAAAUAUAAUACUAGAUUAACACUGCAUCACACACAUUUGAAUAAAAGACUAAAUGGAUCAAAAUAUAUAAACUAUUUACACUACUAUGUGCAAUGAUGGUGUCUGAUUAAACUACUAUGCUGGAAAGAAAACCAGAACAUGGUGUAUGUUCCACAAAACAUGGUACUUUCAUGGUACAUGUCUAAAUAAAUGUAGUAAUACCAUGCAAGACAGCUUUCUAGAUGCACCAGUCUAUUUUAAAGGCCUAAAAUAAAGAAAAGGGAAACAAAACACUUCUGGUUAAGACUGUCUACAGUUUAGAUACAUCAUUUAGGCCGUAAAUCAUUAUUACAAAGCCAAGAAUGUAAAAUGGGUGUAAUGCACAAACUUCACACACAAAUCAAGUGAAACGUGACAUGAGACUGACACGAGAUUGACAUGAGAACGAUCCGUACUGUAAGCAACGAUAAAAGAAAGCGCUAUUUGUAAAAUUCCUGCUUGGGUGUUGUUGUGUAAUGUUUAUGUCGCAUGCAUAUCUAUAUGCACAGUAAGUAACGCCAGAUGAACACAGCAUCUGCUAUAACACACAACGUUCACUAUGACAGAUCACAAAUCCAGCACAUUUUCAGGAUGGUCUGAUAUCAGGAUGGUCAUGAUUUGCAACUUUCACAUGUGUUGCCCAAUCAUUUCAAUAUUGUGCAAAAAAAGAAUGAAUUUGAACAGAAUGAGAUGGUUUCCAUUUCAAUACUAAUAUAAGAAGAAUGCCAUAUGGUGACUAACUCAAUGCUUCAAAAUAAAAAAAAAACUAUCACUAUAUAUAUGUAUAUAUGGAAUUGAAUAGAAAUUCCUAAAUUUAAGUAACGCAUCUAAUUGUUUAAGAGCCCAUAUGUCAAAUAAGGUCGUUUUCUGCCAAGAGACAUAAACAUACAGACAUGCACUUACAUGCAUGCUGGGAUUGAAAUAGCAAUUCAUACAACACGACGGCAUGAACGCGCUUGCAUACUGACACAUCAUUUAGCAAUGAUGCAUAUAAUGCGGGCUGGGAGCGUGCUGGAUCUCUGCCAUGACAGUCUGAACACACGUCAAACUCCUGCAUGCACAUGACGUCUGUAAUUGCUUUCAUUGAGUGCAAUGGAAAAAAUGAGCUGAAUGAAUAUGUAACGUUCGGCUGCCUAAACACAGCGACUGUUACCACAAACAUGCGCCGUUAUGUGUCGUCUACAUGCAGGGGAUGACAUAAAGUGACAUGAGAGAACCAGUGCUGGGUUUUAAAUCAACAAGGGCCGUUCACAUCCACGGAGCCCAUUAGAGGCAAUCUUAUGUGACGUUAUGCAAAUUUGUAAUGAUUGCCAGUGAUGCCAGCUCAACGUAAAGCCCAAAACAUACUUUAAACAAACUGAGUGCAAAUGCUUGUUGAAAACCAGGUUCAGUUUUGUGUGUUAAUGUUCUGAAAUACAUCAGAAUGCAAUUUAGCAUGCCACUGUCUAUCAGUUUUCGGUUUCAGGCCAAAAACGGGCAUAUAUAUAUAUAUGUGUGUGUGUGUGUGUGUGUGUGUGUGUGUGUGUGUGUGUGUGUGUGUGUGUGUGUGUGCAAUUAUAAUUUUGAAACUUUGGAAUAACUAAUAUUUUUUCAUUUUUUUUAAAGAUGUAUUUUUUACUGUUUUUUUCCACCAAUGCUGCAUUUAUUUAUAACAAAAACAGUAAAAUUGUUAAAUAUUAAAAAAUAUCAUUAGGCUACAAUUUAAUAGAUUUUAAUUUAAAAAACGAAUAGUUUUUCUAUUUUAAUAUGUUUUAAAAUUUAAUUUAUUCCUUUAUUUAUUCAAAGGCUU
ensembl:lncRNA